UACGUAGGGUGCAAGCGUUGUCCGGAUUUAUUGGGCGUAAAGAGCGUGUAGGCGGCCAGGUAGGUCCGGUGUGAAAACUCGAGGCUUAACCUCGAGAUGUCAUCGGAAACCAUCUGGCUAGAGUCCGGAAGAGGAAAGUGGAAUUCCUGGUGUAGCGGUGAAAUGCGCAGAUAUCAGGAAGAACACCAAUGGCGAAAGCAGCUUUCUGGGACGGUACUGACGCUGAGACGCGAAAGCGUGGGGAGCGAACAGG
rnacentral:rRNA from 1 species